AGCAAUCGACACGGGGGCUUGGCUACAGCCAGGCUGAGAUGGGGGUUUCCUCCGACCGAAUGAACGUGAACCGGGCAAUGCCGGCGCACGGACGUCGCUCUUCCCGUGCC
rnacentral:ncRNA from 2 species